rnacentral:rRNA from 1 species
AUUGAACGCUGGCGGCAGGCCUAACACAUGCAAGUCGAGCGGAGCGGCGGACGGGGGAGUAAUGCCUAGUGAUCUGCCUGGUAGUGAGGGAUAACGUCCGGAAACGGGCGCUAAUACCGCAUAAUAUCAGAUGGGCCUAGGUCGGAUAUGCUAGUUGGUGGGGUAAAGGCCUACCAAGGCGACGAUCCGUAACUGGUCUGAGAGGAUGAUCAGUAACACUGGGACUGAGACACGGUCCAGACUCCUACGGGAGGCAGCAGUGGGGAAUAUUGGACAAUGGACGAAAGCCUGAUCCAGCCAUGCCGCGUGUGUGAAGAAGGUCUUCGGAUUGUAAAGCACUUUAAGUUGGGAGGCGUUACCAACAGAAUAAGCACCGGCUAACUACGUGCCAGCAGCCGCGGUAAUUC